rnacentral:rRNA from 1 species
AACGAACGCUGGCGGCAGGCUUAACACAUGCAAGUCGAGCGCUCGCAGCAAUGCGGGAGCGGCAGACGGGUGAGUAACGCGUGGGAACGUACCCCUCGGUUCGGAAUAACGCAGGGAAACUUGUGCUAAUACCGAAUACGGCUUAGCGGCGAAAGAUUUAUCGCCGAGGGAUCGGCCCGCGUUCGAUUAGCUAGUUGGUGAGGUAAUGGCUCACCAAGGCGACGAUCGAUAGCUGGUCUGAGAGGAUGAUCAGCCACAUUGGGACUGAGACACGGCCCAAACUCCUACGGGAGGCAGCAGUGGGGAAUAUUGGACAAUGGGCGCAAGCCUGAUCCAGCCAUGCCGCGUGAGUGAUGACGGCCUUAGGGUUGUAAAGCUCUUUCGCUAGGGACGAUAAUGACGGUACCUAGAUAAGAAGCCCCGGCUAACUUCGUGCCAGCAGCCGCGGUAAUACGAAGGGGGCUAGCGUUGUUCGGAAUUACUGGGCGUAAAGCGCGUGUAGGCGGGCUUUUAAGUCAGGGGUGAAAUGCCAAGGCUCAACCUUGGAACUGCCUUUGAUACUGGAAGUCUUGAGUCCGGGAGAGGUGAGUGGAACUGCGAGUGUAGAGGUGAAAUUCGUAGAUAUUCGCAAGAACACCAGUGGCGAAGGCGACUCACUGGCCCAUUACUGACGCUGAGGCGCGAAAGCGGAGCAAACAGGAUUA